rnacentral:tRNA from 1 species
GCGACCAUAGUUUAUCGGUUAGAACGGUUCGUUGCCAACGAGCAAGGUCGGGUUCAAUUCCCGAUGGUCGCA